rnacentral:rRNA from 1 species
UACGUAUGGUGCAAGCGUUAUCCGGAUUUACUGGGUGUAAAGAGAGCGCAGGCGGCGCGUUAAGCCUGGUGUGAAAGCCCGCGUCCCAACCGCGGGACUGCAUUGGGAACUGGCGCGCAGGAGUGCCGGAGGGGUAGGCGGAAUUCCUAGUGUAGCGGUGAAAUGCGUAGAUAUUAGGAGGAACACCAGUGGCGAAGGCGGCCUGCUGGACUGCAACUGACGUUGAGGCCCGAAAGCGUGGGGAGCAAACAGG